AUUGAACGCUGGCGGCAGGCCUAACACAUGCAAGUCGAGCGAGCGGCGGACGGGUGAGUAAUGUCUGGGAAACUGCCUGAUGGAGGGGGGUAACUCCUGGAAACGGUAGCUAAUACCGCAUACCCUCAGUUGUGCCCAGAUGGGGUUGGCGAGUAGGGGGGGUAACGGCUCACCUAGGCGACGAUCCCUAGCUGGUCUGAGAGGAUGACCCGCCACACUGGAACUGAGACACGGUCCAGACUCCGACGGGAGGCAGCAGUGGGGAAUAUUGCACAAUGGGCGCAAGCCUGAUGCAGCCAUGCCGCGUGUGUGAAGAAGGCCUUCGGGUUGUAAAGCACUUUCAGCGGGGAGGCGUUACCCGCAGAAGAAGCACCGGCUAACUCCGUGCCAGCAGCCGCGGUAAUUC
rnacentral:rRNA from 1 species